rnacentral:rRNA from 1 species
UACGGAGGGUGCAAGCGUUAAUCGGAAUUACUGGGCGUAAAGCGUGCGCAGGCGGUUUGUUAAGUCCGUUGUGAAAGCCCCGAGCUCAACUUGGGAAUUGCAGUGGAUACUGGCAGGCUGGAGUACGGUAGAGGAGGGUGGAAUUCCCGGUGUAGCAGUGAAAUGCGUAGAUAUCGGGAGGAACACCAGUGGCGAAGGCGGCCUUCUGGACCAGUACUGACGCUCAUGCACGAAAGCGUGGGGAGCAAACAGG